rnacentral:rRNA from 1 species
GACGAACGCUGGCGGCGUGCUUAACACAUGCAAGUCGAACGGAGCGAAUGAAAGCUUGCUUUUAUAAGCUUAGUGGCAAACGGGUGAGUAACACGUAGGCAACCUGCCGACAGGAUGGGGACAACAUUCCGAAAGGAAUGCUAAUACCGAAUGAAGUCGAGGGAGGGCAUCCUCCUCCGAUGAAAGAUGGCCUCUAUAUAUAAGCUAUCACCUGUCGAUGGGCCUGCGUCUGAUUAGCUGGUAGGUGAGGUAACGGCUCACCUAGGCGACGAUCAGUAGCCGGUCUGAGAGGAUGAACGGCCACAUUGGGACUGAGACACGGCCCAGACUCCUACGGGAGGCAGCAGUGGGGAAUCUUCCGCAAUGGGCGCAAGCCUGACGGAGCAACGCCGCGUGAGUGAAGAAGGUCUUCGGAUCGUAAAGCUCUGUUGAUGGGGACGAACGUGCCUAAUGCGAAUAGUAUUAGGUAAUGACGGACCCAUC